rnacentral:rRNA from 1 species
GAGGAAUUGGCGCGGGAGCACCACAACGGGUGGAGCCUGCGGUUUAAUCGGACUCAACGCCGGGAAUCUCACCGGAUAAGACAGCUGAAUGAUAGUCGGGAUGAAGACUCUACUUGACUAGCUGAGAGGAGGUGCAUGGCCGUCGUCAGUUCGUACUGUGAAGCAUCCUGUUUAGUCAGGCAACGAGCGAGACCCACGCGAGCAGUUGCCAGCUUGACCUUUGGGUUGAUGGGGACACUGCUCGGACCGCCUCUGCUAAAGGGGAGGAAGGACUGGGCAACGGUAGGUCAGCAUGCCCCGAAUUAUCCGGGCUACACGCGGGCUACAAUGGACAGGACAAUGGGUUUCGACACCGAGAGGUGAGGAUAAUCUCCUAAACCUGUCCCAAGUUCGGAUUGCGGGUUGUAACUCACCCGCAUGAAGCUGGAAUCCGUAGUAAUCGCGUUUCAACAUACCGCGGUGAAUAUGUCCCUGCUCCUUGCACACACCGC